UACGUAGGGGGCAAGCGUUGUUCGGAUUUAUUGGGCGUAAAGAGCGUGUAGGCGGCCAGGUAGGUCUGCUGUGAAAACUCGAGGCUUAACCUCGAGCUGUCGGCGGAAACCAUCUGGCUAGAGUCCGUAAGAGGAGAAUGGAAUUCCCGGUGUAGCGGUGAAAUGCGCAGAUAUCGGGAAGAACACCCGUGGCGAAGGCGGUUCUCUGGGACGGUACUGACGCUGAGACGCGAAAGCGUGGGGAGCGAACAGG
rnacentral:rRNA from 1 species